rnacentral:rRNA from 1 species
GAUGAACGCUGGCGGCGUGCCUAAUACAUGCAAGUCGAGCGAACAGACGAGGAGCUUGCUCCUUUGACGUUAGCGGCGGACGGGUGAGUAACACGCAGGUAACCUACCUAUAAGACUGGGAUAACUUCGGGAAACCGGAGCUAAUACCGGAUAAUAUUUCGAACCGCAUGGUUCGAUAGUGAAAGAUGGCUUUGCUAUCACUUAUAGAUGGACCUGCGCCGUAUUAGCUAGUUGGUAAGGUAACGGCUUACCAAGGCAACGAUACGUAGCCGACCUGAGAGGGUGAUCGGCCACACUGGAACUGAGACACGGUCCAGACUCCUACGGGAGGCAGCAGUAGGGAAUCUUCCGCAAUGGGCGAAAGCCUGACGGAGCAACGCCGCGUGAGUGAUGAAGGUCUUCGGAUCGUAAAACUCUGUUAUUAGGGAAGAACAAACGUGUAAGUAACUGUGCACGUCUUGACGGUACCUAAUCAGAAAGCCACGGCUAACUACGUG